UCUGUUGUUGGGCUACAGAAUGCUGGACUAGAUGCCUCAAACCCCACCAAUUUGAAAAUGUUACUUGUGUGGACUUCAAUGUCCAGUGGCCAUGCUGACUGGAGGAUCCCCAAUGUUGUAGUAAAAAAAAGCAACUUUACAAAUCCUGGAUCCAGUAGGUUUCCUUCUGUAUUCUUAGUAUGCUUAACACCAGUUCCCUCAUCAUUUAUUACUGAUAUCCAAUCAAGGAUAAUCAACACAUAACAUUUUGUGUAGAGGCACUAGUGGUAUAUUAAAAGGUUAAUAACACGAAUCACUCAAGCGUGCCAUCAAAAACCAUUUUAUUUAAUUUCUGAUGCAAUACAAAUCAACUAGUGUCUCAUAUUCAGCUAAAUAAAUAGCAAUCACAGAACAUCUGGAAGAAUGUGAGAUUCAACACUAUCUUUCGGUAUGAUAUGAAUAGAAAAAUCUCCACUGGCAUUUCAAGAAAGGAAAUACAUUACUACAUUAUACAUAAGAAGGCAAAGCACAAGAACAACAAGGCAGCACUGACAGUUUUUCAGGAACUUUUCCAUCCACACUCACUUCACCCUUGCUAUGCUUUUUUCUGGAAUACCCCUUCUGGUAUGUUCCUUGUAUCCCCAGAACAUACAGGGGGAGCAAUAAAACCCGAACCAGCUUUGUGACUGUUAUAAGAAGACAUAAAUGGGGGAAAAAUGAUUGCCAUCUGACGGCUUCUUGUUAGUUUUCAGUGUGGUCCAAAAGGGUUGGUUCAAAGAGAAGAAAGCAAGAGUACGCAGAUUCUUGCAAGUGUCUCACAUAGCUUUGCUUUUUCAUACAACUCCUUAUCCAUCUUGAAUAAGGGAACAUGUAUGCUGCUCUAGUACAUCAGGCUUAGCAUGAGGCAUAAUUGGCAAAGACAGCAUUUGAAAGGGUGAUUAAUGACUGCAGAAGUGUGCUGGUUGAAAGAACAUUGCUGAACAUUGUCACUGCAGCUUUUGCUCACUUAAAUGCAAGCUAGAUGGAGCAUUACCUUACUGUGAUUAUUAAUUAUUAUCAAUAUAGAAAUAGGAAAUGCUUAGUGUCUAGUUGCUGUUGGACUGUAGCUCUCACACCGCAGGAAAUGCCAGCCAAUUCCUGAUCUCCCCUUUUUCUCCUCCCCCCAUUGUUUGUCCCCAUCUUGUUGAAAUGUCUUCCAUUAUGUAAAAAUUCUUUUAUAUAUAUCCCUAUUUUGUAUUUUAAGUUGUAAGCCACCUAGAGUGGUUCUAACC
rnacentral:lncRNA from 1 species